CCUACGGGAGGCAGCAGCUAAGAAUAUUCCGCAAUGGACGGAAGUCUGACGGAGAGACGCCGCGUGGAUGAUGAAGGCCGAAAGGUUGUAAAGUUCUUUUGCUGGGGAAGAAUAACCGCAGGAGGGAAUGCCACGGGAUGACAAGAACCGGCGAAUAAGCCCCGGCCAAUUACGUGCCAGCAGCCGCGGUAACACGUAGGGGGCGAGCGUUGUUCGGAAUUACUGGGCGUAAAGGGCAUGUAGGCGGCUUGGAAAGCCUGGCGUGAAAGUCUGCAGCUUACCUGCAGGGGUGCGCUGGGAACUGGUGAGCGAGACUGACGGAGAGGGAGCAGGAAUUAACGGUGUAGGGGUGAAAUUUGUAGAUAUCAGGAUGAACACCGAUGGCGAAGGCAAGGUCCUGGCCGAUGACUGACGCUGAGGUGCGAAAGUGUGGGGAUCAAACAGGAUUAGAUACCUUGGUAGUCCACACAGUCACAGAUGUGCAUUAGGUGCUGGGCCGGUAGCUUCGGUGCCGGACCGAACGUGGUACGUGCUCCCCCUGGGGAGCAUGCUCGCAAGGGUGAAACUCAAAGGAAUUGACGG
rnacentral:rRNA from 1 species